rnacentral:lncRNA from 1 species
UUAUUUUUAAGGUGUAAUUUUUUUUUAAUUGUGACACCAUGAUUAUGUGUUUCGUAUCAACUUGCCAAUUUGAUAACAUUUAAACAGCCGAGUUGUUUCCCCUUCCUAAUAUCUUAUAGAUCCUUUAAUAACUGUGGUCCUACAUUUGAGGUGAACAAAACCUGCUGUUUAAACUAACUGAUAAUUAACAUAUAUUGAAAAUAAAAAAUGCUUCUUAAAAUUCUUGUAAAUAUUUUUGGCAUUAGAAUUUGGACUGAUACUUUUUGAAUUUUGUCAAUUCUAAGUACGUUUUUGUCAGUCCAAUCCUAUAAUAUAAUUCUAUUGAAAAUCCAAUAAAAUUUGCAAGACAUUUUUGUAUUUUUGCAGUCCAUUGAUGCUUUUUUUGUGCAUCAUUUUUCAAGAACUCUGGGCCCCUGUCUCCCCUUUUAGAUAUAGGACCUCUGUUAUUCCUUAAGAUUCUAUUGUUUAUGUUAUAUUAUGGCUUUAUUUUCUUGAUGGAUCUGAUGCUUACAUAAAUUGUUCUGUGAUAAAUGUUUUUGUUAUUUGUUUGUUUUUUUGUAAGUUUUAUAUAUAAAUAUCUUUUAUCGUUUCAUAUUUUUUGUCCACAUUCCAUAUUUAUUACAUAGUAUUUACAUUCCAGAAUAAAUACAAAAAAUUGUAAAUAUAAAAACUGUAUAGUAUAUUGUAUUGUAUGUUUCCA